GAUAAACGCUGGUGGCGUGCUUAACACAUGCAAGUCGAACGAAGUUUUUCCUUCGGGAGAAACUUAGUGGCGGACGGGUGAGUAACGCGUGGGUAACCUGCCCUGUACAGGGGGACAACAGCUGGAAACGGCUGCUAAUACCGCAUAAGCACUUAGCACUGCAUGGUGCAUAGGGAAAAGGAGCAAUCCGGUACAGGAUGGACCCGCGUCUGAUUAGCCAGUUGGCAGGGUAACGGCCUACCAAAGCGAUGAUCAGUAGCCGAUCUGAGAGGAUGUACGGCCACAUUGGGACUGAGACACGGCCCAGACUCCUACGGGAGGCAGCAGUGGGGAAUAUUGCACAAUGGAGGAAACUCUGAUGCAGCGACGCCGCGUGAGUGAAGAAGUAUUUCGGUAUGUAAAGCUCUAUCAGCAGGGAAGAAAAUGACGGUACCUGACUAAGAAGCACCGGCUAAAUACGUG
rnacentral:rRNA from 1 species